rnacentral:rRNA from 1 species
UACGUAGGUGGCAAGCGUUGUCCGGAUUUACUGGGCGUAAAGGGCGUGCAGGCGGUUUGUUAAGUGCAGGGUGAAAGCUCCCGGCUCAACUGGGAGAGGUCCUUGCAUACUGGCAAACUCGAGGGAGGCAGAGGAAAGUGGAAUUCCCGGUGUAGUGGUGAUAUGCGUAGAUAUCGGGAGGAACACCUGUGGCGAAGGCGGCUUUCUGGGCCUUACCUGACGCUGAGACGCGAAAGCGUGGGGAGCGAACAGG